rnacentral:rRNA from 1 species
GACGAACGCUGGCGGCGUGCCUAAUACAUGCAAGUUGAGCGAUGAAGAUUGGUGCUUGCACCAAUUUGAAGAGCAGCGAACGGGUGAGUAACGCGUGGGGAAUCUGCCUUUGAGCGGGGGACAACAUUUGGAAACGAAUGCUAAUACCGCAUAAUAACUUUAAACAUAAGUUUUAAGUUUGAAAGAUGCAAUUGCAUCACUCAAGAUGAUCCCGCGUUGUAUUAGCUAGUUGGUGAGGUAAAGGCUCACCAAGGCGAAGAUACAUAGCCGACCUGAGAGGGUGAUCGGCCACAUUGGGACUGAGACACGGCCCAAACUCCUACGGGAGGCAGCAGUAGGGAAUCUUCGGCAAUGGACGAAAGUCUGACCGAGCAACGCCGCGUGAGUGAAGAAGGUUUUCGGAUCGUAAAACUCUGUUGGUAGAGAAGAACGUUGGUGAGAGUGGAAAGCUCAUCAAGUGACGGUAACUACCCAGAAAGGGACGGCUAACUACGUG